rnacentral:rRNA from 1 species
AUGGCUCAGUGAGGCCUUGGGACUGGCUCAGGAAGGUCGGCAACGACCAUCCAGAGCCGGAAACUUGGUCAAACUNUGGUCAUUUAGAGGAAGUAAAAGUCGUAACAAGGUU